UAAUUUAAUUUAUUUUACUCAUAUAAUAACGAGAAUAUGGCUCGUAAGUUUCUACCGACAUCCCGUAAAGAGGUCGACUAUGAGAAGAAGUA
rnacentral:ncRNA from 1 species